rnacentral:rRNA from 1 species
AGUGAACGCUGGCGGUAGGCCUAACACAUGCAAGUCGAACGGCAGCACAGUAAGAGCUUGCUCUUACGGGUGGCGAGUGGCGGACGGGUGAGGAAUACAUCGGAAUCUACUUUUUCGUGGGGGAUAACGUAGGGAAACUUACGCUAAUACCGCAUACGACCUACGGGUGAAAGCAGGGGAUCUUCGGACCUUGCGCGAUUGAAUGAGCCGAUGUCGGAUUAGCUAGUUGGCGGGGUAAAGGCCCACCAAGGCGACGAUCCGUAGCUGGUCUGAGAGGAUGAUCAGCCACCCUGGAACUGAGACACGGUCCAGACUCCUACGGGAGGCAGCAGUGGGGAAUAUUGGACAAUGGGCGCAAGCCUGAUCCAGCCAUACCGAGUGGGUGAAGAAGGCCUUCGGGUUGUAAAGCCCUUUUGUUGGGAAAGAAAAGCAGCAGGUUAAUACCCCGCUGUUCUGACGGUACCCAAAGAAUAAGCACCGGCUAACUUCGUG